ensembl:lncRNA
AUGCGGAGCUGGGUGGGUAUGCCGUGGUCCCGGCCGGACCCGACAUGUGCAGCCCGGCAGCCCUCGGAGACAGCUUUCGGGGGAAAAUCCCACGGCGGGCGCUCGCACAAGAGCAGCAAUGGGGAUGUAAGUCUUUGGAAGGCCCUUGGACAUAUUGGAGCAAAAUGAAGGCAGCCAGCAUGCAUUUACAAAGUGUAGAAGUCCUAGUUCCGUUUGUUGCUCAUCUGUUUCCACAGCGUUGGGAUUUCCUGGGAAGGCCCUCUGUCCCUUGUCUUCUGAGCCCUAGUGUCCUCCCAGAGGAAGGAGCAUUUUGCUUUCAGAGAAGAGCCAUCACAGCAGGCUCCAUAUCCCCUGAUGCUUCUCUGGGUGAAGGAAUUUGCUUGAGAGCCACAUCUGUCCCUUGCCAUGAGCUAGCCAAGAUGCUGUCUCCUGAGGGCCAGCACCAUUUCAAGGGAGAAGCCCCCUCCUAAUUCAGAAAAGGAGAGAUGCCAGCCCGUCCUUCUUCAGAAGUCCACAGACUUCCUUGGCCCCCAGAGUUGUGAGAAGGACAUCCAGAGUGCGCCAUAAGAUGCUUCUGGUUUAUAGUGCCCCUGGAAGGGUUCAGAUGUACAAGACACUGAGGGUCUCUGGGGAGGGUGGGAUAUUUUUAUCUGUCACUUGACUGAUGUUUGCUGUCAUGUAGAGAGAGUUUGUUAUUCUUUGCUGUGUGGCUUAUAUUCUUUCAGGAACAGCAAAAGUUCUGAGUCUGAGAUAGGUGCUUUUCCUGCAUUCACAUAGGAAUAACAGUAAUGAUAACAAUAAUAAUAAUAAUAGCUUAGUAGCUUUAGAGAAAUACUCAGUGUUUCACCAGAAUGCCCCAUCUUCUUCAGUGUAGCUGCUCCAUUUAAAAAAGACAGUCUUGUGUCAGCCUUUAUGAAAAAGGGAAAACUAGAUUAAGCAACUGGCAUUAAAGACCAGCAAUUUUUGAACUUGUGUAGCCCUUGAAAACAGUAGUUUUUGGCCCAAAAUCAGGACAUAGCUUAGGCAUAUGCUUAACUUUAAGCAUGAGAAUAGUCAUAUUGAAAUCAGGGGGAGUGUUCACAUGUUUACAGUUAAUCUCAAUCCAAAUGCUUUUCUGAAAUUUGUCCUACUGGGAACUGAAAAUGCUAAUACAGUUUUCAGAGCCUGACCCUGUAGAAUAUUAAAUACAGCUGAGCUCUCUAAUUCCCACUGAAGUUAAUGGAAUUGAGGGUACUUGGCAUUCCUUGGGUGUGUGCAGCCCAGCACAGAACCAAAGCCCAACUGCAGCCACCAAGCUUGAGCUCCCUGAAAUCAAAGCAUGAUGAUCCCUGAUUGUAGGUCAGACACAACCUGCCAAACAUAGAGACCACUGUCUUAAAGAGCAGGUUUCACCAGGAGCUUUUGGAAUCCAGAGGACCCAAGGUUACAUACAUGACAAAAAUACAGCAUAUGACUGUAAGAAAUUAAAAG